UGGUGCAUUUGACCUCAAUUAAUGUGUCUGAUUUGAACUAAAGUGCUUGGAGAGUAUCAUGUAUCACCGUGUUAAAAGAGGAAGUUAUGCGAACUAUGGGAAAUGCUACUUUGUUGCCAAGUUAUUGGAUACAUGUAUUAAUGGAGAGUAACUACAUUUGAGAAUGAAGUAGGGUCUUAACUCUUUAAGAUCAAUGAUUGUAUUGGCUCAAAAGAUG
rnacentral:misc_RNA from 1 species